rnacentral:tRNA from 1 species
GGCCUCAUAGCUCAGUUGGUUGAGCAUGCGCUGUACAAAAGCGUGAGCGGCAUCCAUGCAUGAGUUCGAAUCUCACCGAAGCUA